rnacentral:rRNA from 1 species
AGUGAACGCUGGCGGUAGGCCUAACACAUGCAAGUCGAACGGCAGCACAGUAAGAGCUUGCUCUUACGGGUGGCGAGUGGCGGACGGGUGAGGAAUACAUCGGAAUCUACUUUUUCGUGGGGGAUAACGUAGGGAAACUUACGCUAAUACCGCAUACGACCUACGGGUGAAAGCAGGGGAUCUUCGGACCUUGCGCGAUUGAAUGAGCCGAUGUCGGAUUAGCUAGUUGGGGGGGUAAAGGCCCACCAAGGCGACGAUCCGUAGCUGGUCUGAGAGGAUGAUCAGCCACACUGGAACUGAGCCACGGUCCAGACUCCUACGGGAGGCAGCAGUGGGGAAUAUUGGACAAUGGGCGCAAGCCUGAUCCAGCCAUACCGCGUGGGUGAAGAAGGCCUUCGGGUUGUAAAGCCCUUUUGUUGGGAAAGAAAAGCAGCAGGUUAAUACCCCGCUGUUCUGACGGUACCCAAAGAAUAAGCACCGGCUAACUUCGUG